GGGGAAAUGGCUCAGUGGUAGAGCGUCCGCUGUGAGUAAUCUCGUGUUCUAUGGUGAGGUUGAUAAUCUAAUUGUAUACUAGUUGCAUCUUGUAUCAAGUGCCCAGUCCUGCGGAAGGCCCGGGGUUCGAUCCCCCGUUUCUGUG
rnacentral:tRNA from 1 species